GAGGGUAUAGUUCAGUGGUUAAAGCAUGUGUAAGCAUGAGGUCCUGGGUUCAAUCCCCAGUACCUCCA
rnacentral:tRNA from 1 species